rnacentral:rRNA from 1 species
UGGGGAAUAUUGCACAAUGGGGGAAACCCUAAUGCAGCAACGCCGCGUGAGUGAUGAAGGUUUUCGGAUCGUAAAACUCUGUCUUUGGGGACGAUAAUGACGGUACCCAAGGAGGAAGCACCGGCUAACUCCGUGCCAGCAGCCGCGGUAAUACGGGGGGUGCAAGCGUUGUCCGGAAUCAUUGGGCGUAAAGCGUUCGUAGGCGGUAUGUCAAGUCUGGUGUUAAAGCCCGAGGCUCAACCUCGGUUCGGCAUUGGAUACUGGCAAACUAGAAUGUGGUAGAGGUAAAGGGAAUUCCUGGUGUAGCGGUGAAAUGCGUAGAUAUCAGGAGGAACAUCGGUGGCGAAAGCGCUUUACUGGACCAUUAUUGACGCUGAGGAACGAAAGCCAGGGGAGCAAAUG